CUCUCCGCGGCGGCGGCGGCGGCAGGGGCUGAGGGCACAGCCAGCGGGCGGCGCGCCGCGGACUCCAAGGCAGCCCGCGGAAAGACAGAAGUCAGCCUGCGUGGAUGAGGGGACGACGGAAGGCAGCAGGUAAAACGUGAACUUUCGGGGUGCCUGGGUGGCUUAGUCACCUAAGCACCUGAC
rnacentral:lncRNA from 1 species